AACGCUAGCUACAGGCUUAACACAUGCAAGUCGAGGGGAAACGACAUCGAAAGCUUGCUUUUGAUGGGCGUCGACCGGCGCACGGGUGAGUAACGCGUAUCCAACCUGCCCAUCACUUGGGGAUAACCUUGCGAAAGUAAGACUAAUACCCAAUGAUAUCUCUAGAAGACAUCUGAAGGAGAUUAAAGAUUUAUCGGUGAUGGAUGGGGAUGCGUCUGAUUAGCUUGUUGGCGGGGUGACGGCCCACCAAGGCGACGAUCAGUAGGGGUUCUGAGAGGAAGGUCCCCCACAUUGGAACUGAGACACGGUCCAAACUCCUACGGGAGGCAGCAGUGAGGAAUAUUGGUCAAUGGGCGAGAGCCUGAACCAGCCAAGUAGCGUGCAGGAUGACGGCCCUAUGGGUUGUAAACUGCUUUUAUAAGGGAAUAAAGUGAGUCUCGUGAGGCUUUUUGCAUGUACCUUAUGAAUAAGGACCGGCUAAUUCCGUGCCAGCAGCCGCGGUAAUACGGAAGGUCCGGGCGUUAUCCGGAUUUAUUGGGUUUAAAGGGAGCGUAGGCCGGAGAUUAAGCGUGUUGUGAAAUGUAGAUGCUCAACAUCUGCACUGCAGCGCGAACUGGUUUCCUUGAGUACGCACAAAGUGGGCGGAAUUCGUGGUGUAGCGGUGAAAUGCUUAGAUAUCACGAAGAACUCCGAUUG
rnacentral:rRNA from 1 species